CGGAGUAUCGGGACUUUAUUAUUUUAAAGUAGGCAGGGGCUAACAUGCAGUCGAGCGGAUGAGGGAGCUUGCUCCUGGAUUCAGCGGCGGACGGGUGAGUAAUGCCUAGGAAUGCAUAACGGCCUGAGAGCUCUGCCUGGUAGUGGGGGUAACGUCCGGAAACGGGCGCUAAUACCGCAUACGUCCUGAGGGAGAAAGUGGGGGAUCUUAACUGGUCUGAGAGGAUGAUCAGUCACACUGGAACUGAGACACGGUCCAGACUCCUACGGGAGGCAGCAGUGGGGAAUAUUGGACAAUGGGCGAAAGCCUGAUCCAGCCAUGCCGCGGUGUGAAGAAGGUCUUCGGAUUGUAAAGCACUUUAAGUUGGGAGGAAGGGCAGUAAGUUAAUACCUUGCUGUUUUGACGUUACCAACAGAAUAAGCACCGGCUAACUUCGUGCCCGAAUCGCGACAAGCAGCCGCGGUAUACGAAGGGUGCAAGCGUUAAUCGGAAUUACUGGGCGUAAAGCGCGCGUAGGUGGUUCAGCAAGUUGGAUGUGAAAUCCCCGGGGCUCACCUGUGAACUGCAUCCAAAACUACUGAGCUAUAUUACGUAGAGGGUGGUAUUUCCUGUGUAGCGGUGAAAUGCGUAGAUAUAGGAAGGAACACCAGUGGCGAAGGCGACCACCUGGACUGAUACUGACACUGAGGUGCGAAAGCGUGGGGAGCAAACAGGAUAGAUACCCGGCUAGUCCACGCCGUAAACGAUGUCGACUAGCCGUUGGGAUCCUUGAGAUCUUAGUGGCGCAGCUAACGCGAUAAGUCGACCGCCUGGGGAGUACGGCCGCAAGGUUAAAACUCAAAUAAUUGGAGCAUGUGGUUUCCAAUUCGAAGCAACGCGAAGAACCUUACCUGGCCUUGACAUGCUGAGAACUUUCCAGAGAUGCAGACAAGGUGCUGCAUGGCUGUCGUCAGCUCGUGUCGUGAGAUGUUGGGUUAAGUCCCGUAACGAGCGCAACUCCUUGUCCUUAGUUACCAGCACCUCGGGGUGGGCACUCUAAGGAGACUGCCGGUGACAAACGGGAGGAAGGUGGGGGACUUGGCUCGAAUGACGUCAAGUCAUCAUGGCCCUUACUGCAGGGGCUACACACGUGCUACAAUGGUCGGUACAAAGGGUUGCCAAGCCGCGAGGUGGAGCUAAUCCCAUAAAACCGAUCGAGUCCGGAUCGCAGUCUGCAACUCGACUGCGUGAAGUCGGAAUCUUAGAUCGCUAGUAAUCGUGAAUCAGAAUGUCACGGUGAAUACGUUCCCGGGCCUUGUACACACCGCCCUGGGUUCUCCAGAAGUAGCUAGUCUAACCGCAAGGGGACGGUACCACGAUUAUCUUCC
rnacentral:rRNA from 1 species